rfam:Asian citrus Psyllid, Diaphorina citri - Florida Strain, whole genome shotgun sequence.
GCCUAGUUAGCUUACUUGGUAGUGCGUCUGCCUUGUAAGCGCUAGGCCGCGGGUUCGAUUCCCGCCCGGGGCG